rnacentral:rRNA from 1 species
AACAAAAACAUCGCUUUAUGUAUAUUUAUAAAGUAAGACCUGCCCAAUGAAAAAAAUUUAAUGGCCGCAGUAUUUUGACUGUGCAAAGGUAGCAUAAUAAUUAGUUUUUUAAUUAAAAGCUUGUAUGAAUGGUUUAAUGAGAUAUAUACUUUAUUAAUUUAAAUAAAAUAGAAUUUAAUUUUUUAGUUAAAAAGCUUAAAUGAUUUUAAAAGACGAGAAGACCCUAUAGAUCUUUAUUUAAUUAGUUAUAAAUAAUUUUUGUUGAUAUUAAUAUUUUAAUGAAUUAAAUUUUAUUGGGGUAAUAUAAAGAUUAAAAUAAUUCUUUAUUUUUAAAAUCAUUUAUAUAUGAUUAAUUGAUCCUAUAUUAUGGAUUAUAAGAUUAAGUUACCUUAGGGAUAACAGCGUAAUUUUUUUGAAGAGUUCUUAUCAAUAAAAAAGAUUGCGACCUCGAUGUUG